rnacentral:rRNA from 1 species
UACGUAGGUGGCAAGCGUUUGUCCGGAUUUACUGGGCGUAAAGAGCGCGCAGGCGGUCGUUCAAGUCGCGUGUGAAAGCCCCCGGCUCAACUGGGGAGGGUCACGCGAUACUGAUCGACUCGAAGGCAGGAGAGGGUAGUGGAAUUCCCGGUGUAGUGGUGAAAUGCGUAGAUAUCGGGAGGAACACCAGUGGCGAAGGCGACUACCUGGCCUGUUCUUGACGCUGAGGCGCGAAAGCUAGGGGAGCAAACGGGG